AGCAGCCGCCGCGGGAAUACGAAGGGUGCAAGCGUUACUCGGAAUUACUGGGCGUAAAGCGUGCGUAGGUGGUGGUUUAAGUCCGUUGUGAAAGCCCUGGGCUCAACCUGGGAAUUGCAGUGGAUACUGGGUCACUAGAGUGUGGUAGAGGAUAGUGGAAUUUCCGGUGUAGCAGUGAAAUGCGUAGAGAUCGGAAGGAACAUCUGUGGCGAAGGCGGCUUACUGGCUCAUACUGGACGCUGAGGUGCGAAAGCGUGGGGAGCAAACAGGAUUAGAUACCCGCGUAGUCCCUGUCUCUUAUAC
rnacentral:rRNA from 1 species